AUGCUAUGUUUUCUUCAUCGAGCUAGCGUUGCAUCUCCCUUCCUUCUUACAGGUUCAAACCUCUUCUGUGAUAAUCACAGAACUGUAGCAUCAGAAGGCAAUCUCCAAAGUGUGGUCUUCACAUCCUUGAUGGCAAGCCAGGUGAUCAUAGGACCAGCAGCUGUGCAGGAAUGUUCCUCUAAAGAAGAUGGGAAAAGUUUAAGAAGCACGAUUAACCAGGAAAACAGUGCUGGGGAUGAAUCAUGGCUGCACCAUCUAAUUUCAUCUACUCUUAAAGGAGCAGGAUCCCCGUUAAAUCAUCACCAAGUAUGUGAUUUCCUGGGAGCAAUAUCUGAAUGA
rnacentral:lncRNA from 12 species